AUUUAAUUCGAGCUAUUAUCAGUCAUUGUCAUAACUUUGUGUUUUUGCUGAAUAGAUUACAUGCCUUUGACUUCCUUUUAAUGUUUUUACUAUAUAUAGUUCCUUUAUUAGCUAAACUUUUACAAAUAAACAAUAGAAAACAACAAAAAGAAACCUAUUUUUAUUAGUUUGUAUAAAAUAGUGUUUAAUAUCUUUUAAACGGAAACUCAUUAAACAUGAAAACAGGAUUUGUCGUGUAUAUAUUAUUUUUGGCGUGCUUUCAUGGAUUGUACGCCCGACCAGCCCGACGUUCUUGUGGCAGCUUUUACCCAUUCUGCAAAUGUCCUCAGUACGUAAAUGGUUGUUAUACAUGCCCGGCCUCCUGCCCAUCAGCUCCAGGUUCAGUGACCAGCAGCCUUGCCACGACCAUUGCCCACAGCACAUUCGGUGAUUUCCAUCCCGGUAUGAAUCCCGGAAUACAAUCCACCAAGCACAUCUGGCACUUCCGGUUCUGCGCAGACUCAAGCCCCUUCUAAUAUCCCGUCGUCCUAUUCAACUAACAGCGCCAACAGUCCUACCCAUCCGACAAGUCCUUCCACAUCUGUACAAACACCAGCGCCCAGCAGUUCUCCGUCCGCACAAGGAAGUGGGUCGUCUUCCGCAGGAAACCUUGACCUUGUAUGUCCCCCAUUGCCGUCCUGUCCAGAUGCCACGAAGAUAACAUAUGAUGAUAAUAAUUGCGCUAUAUGCUCCAGCGCAGGAAACCAUAACCGACCGAUUUCCAAUACAAACGGCUGUCCACCCGUCAGCAUGCCGAUGAAAGAUUGCCACAUAGAUCGAAAUGGAUGCUUGCUAUGUCAAGGAUCAAUCAUAACAACAACUACACCAUUGACAAGCCCAACAACAACGCAAACAAGUACUCAGUCAACAACAAUAAAAUCAACAACACGACCCACUACCCCUACUCCAUUUACAACGAAACAAACAACAACAAGACCAACAACACCUACACCAAUAUCUACGAAAUCUACUUCGCCGACAACUUACACGAUUACUGCAGCAAAGACAACAACGCAACAGUCGGCCAUUUCAGCAAGUUCUGCAACAUCACCCACAACACCAUCUACCUCUACGACUACUACUAAAAAUAGUUUAGCAGCAACAACAGCUUCUACUACUACCGGUAGUUCAGCGGCAACAACAACUUCUACAACUACAGUUACUUCAGCAGCAACAACGUCUACUACUUCAGGUAGUUCGGCCGCAACAACAGCUGCUACUACUUCAGGUAGCUCAGCAGCAACAACAGCUUCUAUUACUGCAGGUAGUUCAACUGCAACGCCAGGAAAUACAGCACCACACGGAAGCUCAGCCACAAACGGAAGUACAAUAGUUAUGGCACCUCCGACAUUCACGACGAUCCACAUUCCCGCUGUUACAACGGCCUGUCCCCAGAUGCAAUGUUUGUUGGACUGUGGAAGCCCUCCGAAGUUUAUGAAAGAUACGAAAGGGUGCGAUCUCUGCCAAUGUGACCUAAGCCCUUAAUACGAUGGUGCAUGUACCACUUAAUUAAGCAAAUUAAAGGAUUUUACUAUCGCA